rnacentral:lncRNA from 1 species
AGGAGCACUUUUAAUGACGACUUUUAAGGCAACCAGCGCACAAUGGCAAAACCAUAGAUGGAAAGGUAAUUUUCAUGCCUCUGAAAUGAGAAUAGGCGCAGCGUUUUACCAUUAACACUCUGUAUUUUGCAGGUGUCUCUGUCGCCCUAAGUGUAUUUGACGGCUUAGCAUACGAGUUUCAUAAGAAAUUGGUAGGUUUUGGUUCUGCACAAGGGUUGUCGUAGCUACUAUGUUAAAUAAUUUGACCAUGUGUUAUUUUGCUCUCCGUAGUGUUCUAAGGUUACACUAAUCCCUGGCUCAUUUAUGGCGGGUUGCAAGGAGCCUUAUGCAUACCUUCUUUUUUUGUAAAAGGUUCCUUAAGCCUAAGGAGCUUAAACUUUGACUGUAGUGCCUAGAGUUUUCUAUUAGUGCAGUUUCUUCUUGACUUUACAUUGUGUGUUUGAUCCAAAGUUACAAGGUCUGCUUAUUUGGAGUUAUUAGCAUACGUGUUGUUUUAUUGGUUUUUGAUGAUAACAUACUUUGAUCUGUUUGUUUAAAAUAUACUUAUUUUCUCAUUUAUCAUCUCCUCAAGAUUUCUAUGCUCACAGUCACAUCUAAGUUGUUUUCUUUUGUAGGCAAAAUGGCUUAUGGAAUCAUGGACGGUCCCUCGAAGGAUUUUCUGAGAGCGUUGUGAGGUAGCAUUAUGUUCCAUCCAGCCAAUGAAUAAUCAGGAAGCUGCACAACAAACAGAGUAAUACGAAGAGAAAUUUUAUACUGAUAAUACUAAUAAAUGAAAUGCAACUUUGAAUUCAGUUACGACACUACACACAUAUGAUUGAUUUUUGGGGAGGUUCUUGGAAAGUAUAUUUUCAGAACCUUAAUGUCACCUUGUCUCCACUUUUUAUAUUACUUUAAUCUUUAUUAUUUUUGAGAA